GGGAAAAACCUUUGUACGCGCUUUUAAAUUUGGAUACGGUUUGUUUUGAUAAAAUCUGCUACUUCUUUGUAUAUUUUUGUUCCGGCUUUUUUAAGUAAUGAUUCAGUCUCGUCGUUAGUUACUACUUUGGCCGUCAAUUCCACUUCUUCUAUGGAUUCACCUAAUAUUGUGAUUGCAAAAUCGUCUGCGAAUUGCUCAAGUAUUACUUUGUCUGUGUUUAUUUCAUGUAAUGAGCUAGAGUAUAAAUUGAAGAGAAGAGGGGAUAGGGGGCAUCCUUGAGGUAAACCCCUGUUUGUGGUUCUAGUAAGUUUUUUAUUAACGGUUUCUAAUAACACGGUUCUUUCUGAUAAAUAUGUUUCCAGCAAACUAAGUAUUUUAUUUGGUAUUUUCAUUUUAUCUAGCUGUUUAAGUAGAAUUUUAAUGUCGACGGAGUCGAAAGCUUUAGUGAGAUCUAGGAAGAUUGUCGCGACUACCAUUUUGUUGCGAUGUGCUUCUGUUAUUGUUGAUAUUAAAUAGUUAAUGCAAUCUA